rnacentral:rRNA from 1 species
UACAGAGGGGGCAAGCGUUGUUCGGAAUUACUGGGCGUAAAGGGCGCGUAGGCGGCCUUCUAAGUCGAACGUGAAAUCCCUGGGCUCAACCCAGGAACUGCGUCCGAUACUGGAAGGCUUGAAUCCGGGAGAGGGAUGCGGAAUUCCAGGUGUAGCGGUGAAAUGCGUAGAUAUCUGGAGGAACACCGGUGGCGAAGGCGGAUUUCUGGACCAGUUCUGACACUGAGGAGCGAAAGCCAGGGGAGCAAACAGG